rnacentral:rRNA from 1 species
GACGAACGCUGGCGGUGUGCUUAACACAUGCAAGUCGAACGGUAAGGCCCUUUCGGGGGUACACGAGUGGCGACCGGGUGAGUAACACGUGAGUAACCUGCCCUCAUCUCUGGGAUAACAGUCGGAAACGGUUGCUAAUACUGGAUAUGAGCUUGCAAGGCAUCUUGUUGGUUGGAAAGAUUUUUUUGGUUGGGGAGGGACUCGCGGCCUAUCAGCUUGUUGGUGAGGUAGUGGCUCACCAAGGCUUCGACGGGUAGCCGGCCUGAGAGGGCGACCGGCCGCAUUGGGACCUAGAGACGGCCCAAACUGCUACGGGAGGGAGCAGUGGGGAAGACUGCACAAUGGACGGAAGGCGGAUGCAGCAGCGCCGCGGGCGGGAUGACGGUCUUCGGGUUGUAAACCGCUUUCAAUUGUGACGAAGCUUUUUGUGACGGUAGCAGUAGAAGAAGCACCGGCUAACUACGUG